UCUCUUCACAUCUCUGUCUCC
rnacentral:piRNA from 1 species